rnacentral:rRNA from 1 species
UACGAAGGGGGGCUAGCGUUGUUCGGAAUUACUGGGCGUAAAGCGCACGUAGGCGGAUCGAUCAGUCAGGGGGUGAAAAUCCCCAGAGCUCAACUCUGGAACUGCCUUUUGAUACUGUCGAUCUAGAGUAUGGAAGAGGUGAGUGGAAUUCCGAGUGUAGAGGUGAAAUUCGUAGAUAUUCGGAGGAACACCAGUGGCGAAGGCGGCUCACUGGUCCAUUACUGACGCUGAGGUGCGAAAGCGUGGGGAGCAAACAGG